AACGAACGCUGGCGGCAUGCCUAACACAUGCAAGUCGAACGAAACCUUCGUGUCUAGUGGCGCACGGGUGGGUAACGCGUGGGAACCUACCCUUAGGUUCGGAAUAACUCCCCGAAGGGGGUGCUAAUACCGGAUAAGGUCUUAGGACCAAAGAUUUAUCGCUUUUGGAUGGGCGCGCGUUGGAUUCGCUGGUUGGUAGGGUAAAAGCCUGCCAAGGGCACGAUGCAUAGCUGGUCUGAGAGGAGGACCCGCCACACUGGGGCUGAGACACGGCCCAGACUCCUACGGAAGGCAGCAGUGGGGAAUAUUGUAGAAUGGGCGAAAGCGUGAUCAAGCAAUGCGGGGUGAGUGAGGAAGGCGUUAGGGUUGUAAAGCUGUUUUACCCGGGAUGAUAAUGACAGUACCGGGAGAAUAAGCUCCGGCUAACUCCGUG
rnacentral:rRNA from 1 species